GCUCCGGCCUGGCUCCUUUCAGCCACUGGGAUUUGGGGUGGCACUCCACGGUGGAAAGAGGAACUAUGAACUGAUGUUUACCGUCUGUGAGCAAGCAUUUGGGAUUAACGUUUUUCAGGAACUGAAGAGCCAUAAGGAAGGAGAGGCCCACAUUAGCAUCACCUUACUAUUAAACAGUGAGGAGAGAGUGAAGGUGGAGACGAAGGAGGGAAGACCAAACUGCCUGAGCCCCAGAUAAUAGGCCCAGCUUGAUGGAAGACGGCAACAAUAAGGCAAAUGUGGACCAAAAGAGCUAAGGAGGAAUGAUGUGCAAUCCCAUACCCCAAAGGCUUUUAAGAAGAGGAGACUUAUGGCAAACGAUGAAGAAUCAUAUCUCGGACAGAAUUUAAAAGAUAUUAUGCACCUGGUUCUCCUCCAAGAGAGUGGCACUCUGUCGAAAAGGAAAAUGCGUGAAAUAGUACCCACCCUUGGAGACACUGAGCAAAUAGGCACUGACGGUUUCUUUGAUAAUGGGUCACGUGGAACUCAAACAGGCUUGCAUUGGUGGAAGAACAUUCCCUAAAUUACUGGUUGAGUUCCAGCCAAAAUGCAGAGAAAUUGCUCAGUAAAUACCAUUGGUUGAUUGA